UAAGCUGAAAUUCAGUUAUGAAUUUAUUCAUGUCUUGUAGCUUGAAACAACACUAUUCUCCAGCCAAUUAAUGCUGGGAUUUUUUCAAUAUAUUUAGGGAAGGUAGAGGGUUCAACUGGCAGGCUUAUAAGCUCAACUUCCAUAUCUGCAGAAUCUGUGAAAACCCUUUUUGCUUUACACCUUUAAGAAGCACCUAGUCACUUUCUCCGGUCAAGAUUUAUCCUCCAAAGUGACAGAUUAUGGAAAAGGUUUAAAUUGUUCUCUAAUGUUACUAGAAAAUGACCCCUUUUCUACAUUAACAAAACAAUCCCAGAAUUUGAGUGCAAAUAUACAACACAUAAUAAGUCAAGGUGAAACAUCAUCAACUUGUAUGUACCUGUGAAUUUACAUGGUUAGUCACUGUUCGUCCAUACUUCCCUAAGAAGUUCAUAUCUAAUGGAGUUUUGUUUUCCCAUUUCCUUUGAUUUCAAGCUAAGCUUUGUUGGUGCAGGUGAAGUUCGAGAGCCAUCAAGGAAAAUUGAAGCCAAAGGUGAAUUCAGUUCAUCAAGCUCAUCAUCACUGGUGUAUGACUUUCUGAGCAACGAGCCACUUCUUCUCAGCUGCGAUUGACUUCCAGACUCUCCAAUAAUUUCAGCAACUGAAGCUGCCAAAGGUGGCAAAUAAAAUGGUGGAGCAGCAAUAUAUGGUAUGUUUGUGACAGACUCCUCCCCAGCCUCAAGAGAAUCCUCAGACUCCAGGGCUUCAAGCACGACAUUAGGAAUAGGAUCGGGGCAAAAUUCAUCAGUGACAAAAUUGUCAAGAACCCUCUUGAUUAAUGGAGUUCCAAAUGCAGGGCAUACCUCUUUUCUUAUGGAUCUACUCAAGAGCAUGUCCUUGGGAAGCAUCAUGAGAUCACUCAACGCAUUAAGGAAAUUGAAAGAUUUGAAGCAUAUGUCUUGUCUCUCGUCAUCAUUGUCCUCUUCAAGUGAGUCAUCAUCCAUGCCAAAUAAGUCAGUCAGCCAUCUAGACCAGUUGCCAAUCGCAUUUUUCAAUUGUGCUCCAGCCCCAAAGCUUGAUUUACCAGCUGGAAUAGGAAGAACCGUUGAAUCACUGAUAGGGUCAGACAUUGGAUCAGUUGGGAUUUCAUCGGCAGAGUCACGAAGAAUGGCAUUGAACAUUGCCACAUCUAAUCUAGCCAUACAUUGCUCCAUUAUCAGUCUGGCCAGCACAGGCAAACAGCCACACUCAUGCCCACCAGCUCUAAGAGGACAAAGUCUCCCACAGGCAUCCUUGAACGCAUUCUUCCAAAGUUCUAAUGAAAAGUUUCCUUGAUCUUGAUCGCCUGAACUUGACAUCCUUUCAAGAUUUUUCUUUGAGCCAGAACCAAUAAAUCUAUCAAUUGCUUUUGUAGUGGCGGAUUGCAUCCGUGGAGUAAGAGUCUGCCACCAUAUAGACUCAACAAUUCGGGAAAAGAUCCAAGCUUCAACUUUUUCCAGGGCAGAUAUAAAUUCAUGUGGAUCCUCCCAGUCACCUAAAUCUCCACAAAUAACUUUAUUAUUUCCCUUUCUUCUGGGAGAUGAUAGCUUCCACUUUAGCGAAGAUGACAUCAUCUUGUUCCCCUUUCCACCACCAUUCAUCUCUGUGUUCUUUUUACCAAAAAGUGAUAGCUCUUCAUCAUCUAUUGCCUGGUGUAUAAUUGCUCUCAACACAACAGAGUUUGAUAGCCAAAAUGUCAACCUAGGGACAUCAUUCCCACAUGCCUUGGCAACCAGAACAAGCCCUGAAACAGCACUUCUAGCUGCACUAGCUCUCCUUGGUUGAGAACUUUCUUUACAAGCAUGAAGAUAUAGCCUAGAAAGGCGCCGUGCUGGAGCAUGUACCUUACUUAUGGAACUUCCAUGCUCAGCAGCAACUGAGUAAAGAGCAGCCUCAAUUCCAGCAGCUUCUCUCAGCUCUCCCUCAAGCAUUUUUAUUUUGUGUUCCAUUUGCUGGAUUUUACCAUUUAAAAUGAUUGUUCUUGUAUCUUGUGGGUAAACCUUAGCAUUUUUUCUUUCAUGGACUUUGAAGCUUCCAGCAGUGUUCUGUAGAUCUCCCAAGGCACCAAUUUCCCUCACUUCACUGUGCUGGUUUCUGCUCACUAAUCGAUUACUCCUAGAUGAGUCUGAUGAUGAUCGAACAGAUUUCACAUGCUUUAAUCUAUCAAUUUUGAGGAUAUUUCCUUUCCUUUCAAUGCUACCACUUGAAGAAAGUGUAUCAAUCGCAAGUGCGCCUUCAUUUCUAGUACCAUCCUGUGAAAAUGCAUCAAUUGGUUCAUCCUCUGAGAAAUGACCCUUGUCUUCCAGAUCUUGACUAUUCAUGUCCUCCAUAGAACUAUUAUAAACAUCAUCAGUGGCAACAGUCCUUUCCAGGGUAUUUUUUCCAGCUCUUAUCUGGUGAGCAUCACCUUCAAUUUUUAUUGAGCUAUUAGGAACCUUUUCAUCAACCUCCUGCACAAAAUCAUAACGCCUAUUGUUUGACAUGUCGAUAUUGGGUUCUUCCUCUUUACUUUCAUAAUUGAAGGCUAAAGAAGAAGAAUAAACACUCUGGGAAACUUCAUUUUUUGGCGUCAACAUGAAACUAGAGUUAGGAGAGUUCACCACAGAAGCAUGAACAUUUACUGGGCUCCCAAAAUCAGAUGAUAAAUCUACAGAAGACGAGCAAGAUGAACUCUCCUUCAGAUUUUUUUGUGAUGCAAUAUGUUUUUCAAUGCCCAGUUUUGAAGCAACAGCAUGCUCCCUGUUAAUCCCUACUUUUCUUUCUGUUGAUCUUUCUGUUCCAUACUGCAAUUCAAAAUCUAUAGAAGAUGAGCAAGAUGAAUUCUCCUUCAGAUUUUCUUGUGAUGCACCACGUUUUUCAAUGCCCACUUUUGAAGCAGCAGCCGGCUCCCUGUUAACCCCUCCUUUUCUUUCUGUUGAUCUAUCCGUUCCAUUCUCAUCAUUUUGCGGAUGCAAACCCCCAUUGGUUAGAGAUGAAUGUGAGGAGACAUCAUCAUCAGUGAAAGAGGCCAUCUCAUCUUCCUCGGUGUAUUCUCCAUUCAUCAAUGCGGAAACUGACUUACCACCAUCCUUGUCAUGUGAAACCCCUUUCAAUGGGCUGUCCUUUGAUGAGGAGCUGCUAUGACCCUUAUCAAUUGGCUGGAUUUUAACAUACAAAACUGGCUGAGACGUGUUCCUAAAGCUCCUGUUGCUGCUCAUUGGAGCAUUUACACUUAUGAUCUCCUUGACAACACCAUAAUCUGCCAAGUCUAUUACAGCAGUUGCCAGCAACUGGAUCUUAUCCCUUCGAGGUUCACACAAGUUGAAUUCUAAGCAAUUCUUCUGGAAUGAAUCAGCAUCCUUGCCUUUACCAGAUAUUUCCCUUAUCAAAGUCACUGGUAAUCUAAAAGACUCAUUGAAUUCAAUUUUCCCCUCACCAACAAUCGAGCCAAGCGAAGGAACAACGGUGUCGGUAGACCCAGAGUUACGGUUACCAUUUUCCCACUGAAUCAAGACUGAUCGAAGGGAUCUCAGAGACUGAGAUGGGGGCCAAGGCUUAAUCUCCUGGAUGUGGAUUAGAUAUUCCACAUGAACUGAGGCACCUUUCCUGUUCUUUGCGUUUACACCCAGAACCAUUUUGGGGAACAAACUCGUAUCCCACCAAAAGUAAACCGUAUCAACGUGUAUGUGGAUAUUGAAUCACAAGGCAUCUAAAUUCCUGCAGUCCACAAGCAAAACCCACAUUCAUGUUAAUUCACUAGAGCAAACUUGAAUAAGAACUAAUAAUCUAACAAACAAAUGGCAAAAUCAGAAUCAAACACUGCACUGUAAAAGAAGUUUCUCCAUUUGAUAACAGGAAAAUGUUGUAAAAGAAAAAUCUCCAGAACUUCAAAAGACAAUAUUUUUUUAAUCAACUAUAACAGAGAAAAACGACAAAUCCCACUUCGAAACUAAGCUCUGCAAAACUACUUGCCUUAUUUCAGUCAAAACCCAAAAAUAAAACAACACUGAAAAGUUUGCUUAUCUUCCCUUUCCCAGCAUUUUCUCAGCAACCAAACAGCUGCAACGUGUAGCCCCUAUUCUGAAAAAAGGUUUAGCCAAAAUUAUGGACUCAUUGAAGAUAAAAUCCCCACCUAAAAAAUAAUCAAUCUAAACAGCAGACAUUUGUUGCUAAAAAAGAAAAAGGCAAGCAGAGUAAUAAAUGCCUUCACAUUCCAGAAAGCAGCAGGCAUCAUAGAAUAGUACGCAGUAACCAAGAAGAUGGCUACCCAGUAAGCUCUUCAAGCAAUAAACAAAAGAAAAAAGGGCUAAAGAGAGGACAUAACCGACUUUAAGCUCCUUAAACACAAGUGUAAAGGACAAUCAAACAGAAAAUCUACUGAAAAGUGAGCUCAAAUAGGUAAAAGAAUCAAUCUUUCAAGAGCUCAUUUUGACAAUUGAGUAGAAUUAAUCCCACCCCCCUCCCCAAAGUGCAGCAAGUUCUUCAGCUAGUUGGAACCCGAUUUCACUAGAUCCUGAUUAAGCCAACCAAAGUUUAUCCAUGAAAGACCACAUUUUGAUAUUGAAAUAGCAGAUAUGCUAUAUUGCAUUCCUUAAAAAAUUAACCAAAACGAACACCCUUGUAGAAAACCUCCACUUCACAGAGCAAACAUCAGCCGAUACCAUUUCUUCUUUGGUCUUUUACCUUUGAAACUAGUGGCCGAGAAAUCAGAGAAAUGCAAGAACUGAAAUGUCUAGUUUCGGAUUUUUAGCUUUCAUUGAAGAAAAUAAAACAAGUUUUUCAGAAAGAGCAGUGAGUGACUCAGAAAGAGAGAAUGUCCGGUAAUAAUAAAAAUAGAAUAAAUAAAUAAUAAAAAGGCAAAAGUGGGGGAAAAAAUAAUUUGUUCCUAA
rnacentral:misc_RNA from 1 species